UACGUAGGGUGCGAGCGUUGUCCGGAAUUAUUGGGCGUAAAGGGCGCGUAGGCGGAUGGCACAGUCAGAUGUGAAAUUCCCGGGCUUAACCUGGGGGCUGCAUUUGAUACGUGUGAUCUAGAGUGAGGAAGAGGGUCGUGGAAUUCCCAGUGUAGAGGUGAAAUUCGUAGAUAUUGGGAAGAACACCGGUGGCGAAGGCGGCGACCUGGUCCUUGACUGACGCUGAGGCGCGAAAGCGUGGGGAGCAAACAGG
rnacentral:rRNA from 1 species